ACACCUACCUGCCAGGGGAGACGCCUGUGGUCCUGAGGGUGGUUUUCCCAGGGCGAGGCUUCUCCUUGGCAUUUCACAUGUGCUGACCUCUGUGAUUUCCCUAAAUCUGGGAAACAAGUGCACUGUGGUACUGUGGGUACUGUGUUCACAGUCUCCCC